rnacentral:rRNA from 1 species
UGGGGGAUAUUGCACAAUGGGCGAAAGCCUGAUGCAGCGACGCCGCGUGGUGGAUGAAGGCCUUCGGGUUGUAAACUUCUUUUGCUCUGAACAAGGCAUGCUAAUGGGUGUGUUGAGUGUAGGGGUUGAUUAGCGCCGGCUAACUACGUGCCAGCAGCCGCGGUAAUACGUAGGGCGCGAGCGUUGUCCGGAAUUAUUGGGCGUAAAGGGCUUGUAGGUGGCUGGUUGCGUCUGUCGUGAAAGCUCAUGGCUUAACUGUGGGUUUGCGGUGGGUACGGGCUGGCUUGAGUGCAGUAGGGGAGGCUGGAAUUCCUGGUGUAGCGGUGGAAUGCGCAGAUAUCAGGAGGAAUACCGGUGGCGAAGGCGGGUCUCUGGGCUGUUACUGACACUGAGGAGCGAAAGCAUGGGGAGCGAACAGG